rnacentral:misc_RNA from 1 species
UCCCUGAGACGGCCACCCAGCCUG